rfam:Clostridium sp. MSTE9 ctg120006482989, whole genome shotgun sequence.
UCCUUAUCAAGAGUGACGGAGGGAACAGGCCCUGUGAUGUCCGGCAACCUGCGCAAUGUGCGAAAGGUGCCAAAUCCUGCGGAUAAAGCCGGCAGAUGAGGU